rnacentral:rRNA from 1 species
UAGAGUUUGAUCCUGGCUCAGGACGAACGCUGGCGGCGUGCCUAAUACAUGCAAGUCGAGCGGAGAAAUGGGAGCUUGCUCCCAUUUCUCAGCGGCGGACGGGUGAGUAACACGUGGGCAACCUGCCCUACAGACUGGGAUAACUCCGGGAAACCGGAGCUAAUACCGGGUAAUACAUAGCAUCGCAUGAUGCAACGUUGAAAGUUGGCCUUUGGCUAACACUGUAGGAUGGGCCCGCGGCGCAUUAGCUAGUUGGUAAGGUAACGGCUUACCAAGGCCACGAUGCGUAGCCGACCUGAGAGGGUGAUCGGCCACACUGGGACUGAGACACGGCCCAGACUCCUACGGGAGGCAGCAGUAGGGAAUCUUCCGCAAUGGACGAAAGUCUGACGGAGCAACGCCGCGUGAGUGACGAAGGCCUUCGGGUCGUAAAGCUCUGUUGUUAGGGAAGAACAAGUACCGUUCGAAUAGGGCGGUACCUUGACGGUACCUAACCAGAAAGCCACGGCUAACUACGUGCCAGCAGCCGCGGUAAUACGUAGGUGGCAAGCGUUGUCCGGAAUUAUUGGGCGUAAAGCGCGCGCAGGCGGUCUCUUAAGUCUGAUGUGAAAGCCCACGGCUCAACCGUGGAGGGCCAUUGGAAACUGGGGGACUUGAGUGCAGAAGAGGAGAGUGGAAUUCCACGUGUAGCGGUGAAAUGCGUAGAUAUGUGGAGGAACACCAGUGGCGAAGGCGGCUCUCUGGUCUGUAACUGACGCUGAGGCGCGAAAGCGUGGGGAGCGAACAGGAUUAGAUACCCUGGUAGUCCACGCCGUAAACGAUGAGUGCUAGGUGUUGGGGGGUUCCACCCUCAGUGCUGAAGUUAACACAUUAAGCACU